GAUGAACGCUAGCGGCAGGCUUAACACAUGCAAGUCGAGGGGUAUAGUUCUUCGGAGCUAGAGACCGGCGCACGGGUGCGUAACGCGUAUGCAAUCUACCUUUUGCAGAGGGAUAGCCCAGAGAAAUUUGGAUUAAUACCUCAUGGUAUGUGAGAAUGGCAUCAUUUUCACAUUAAAGUCACAACGGCAAAAGAUGAGCAUGCGUCCCAUUAGCUAGUUGGUAAGGUAACGGCUUACCAAGGCAACGAUGGGUAGGGGUCCUGAGAGGGAGAUCCCACACACGGGUACUGAGACACGGACCAGACUCCUACGGGAGGCAGCAGUGAGGAAUAUUGGACAAUGGGCGCAAGCCUGAUCCAGCCAUGCCGCGUGCAGGAUGACGGUCCUAUGGAUUGUAAACUGCUUUUGUACAGGAAGAAACACUGGUUCGUGAACCAGCUUGACGGUACUGUAAGAAUAAGGAUCGGCUAACUCCGUGCCAGCCGCCGCUGUAACAC
rnacentral:rRNA from 1 species